GGACCGUAUACAAGUCUCCUGGGAUGGAGCAUCAUAGAGGGUGAGAAUCCCGUCUCUGAUACGGACUACCAGUGCAUUGUGGUAUGCUCUCAACGAGUCGAGUUGUUUGGGAAUGCAGCUCAAAAUGGGUGGUAAAUUCCAUAUAAAGCUAAAUAUUGGCGAGAGACCGAUAGCGAACAAGUACCGUGAGGGAAAGAUGAAAAGAACUUUGGAAAGAGAGUUAAACAGUACGUGAAAUUGCUGAAAGGGAAACGCUUGAAGUCAGUCGCGUCUGCUGGGAAUCAGCCUCACUUUUGUGUGGUGUACUUUCUGGUGGAUGGGUCAGCAUCAAUUUUGACUGCUGGAAAAAGGUNNGGGGAAUGUGGCAGCUCCGGCUGUGUUAUAGCCUCAUGUCGUAUACAGCAGUUGGGAUUGAGGAACGCAGCACGCCGCAAGGCAGGGUCUUCGGACCACUUUCGUGCUUAGGAUGCUGGCAUAAUGGCUUUAAGCGACCCGUCUUGAAACACGGACCAMGGAGUNUAACAUGCCUGCGAGUGUUUGGGUGGAAAACUCGAGCGCGUAAUGAAAGUGAAAGUUGAGAUCCCWGUCGUGGGGAGCAUCGACGCCCGGACCAGAACUUUUGGGACGGAUCCGCGGUAGAGCAUGUAUGUUGGGACCCGAAAGAUGGUGAACUAUGCCUGAAUAGGGUGAAGCCAGAGGAAACUCUGGUGGAGGCUCGUAGCGGUUCUGACGUGCAAAUCGAUCGU
rnacentral:rRNA from 1 species